GAUGAAGAACGUAGUGAAAUGCGAUAAGUAGUGUGAAUUGCAGAAUUCAGUGAAUCAUCGAAUCUUUGAACGCACAUUGCGGCCAUAGGUAUUCCUUUGGCCAUGCCUGUUCGAGCGUCAUUUACACCCUCAAGCCUAGCUUGGUGUUGGGCGCCUGUCCCGCCGUUUUCGCGCGCGGACUCGCCUCAAAGUCAUUGGCGGCGGUCGUGCCGGCCCCCUCGCGCAGCACAUUUGCGCUUCUCGGAGGCCCGGCGGAGCCGCGCUCCAGCAAGACCUUUCACGACUUGACCUCGGAUCAGGUAGGGAUACCCGCUGAACUUAAGCAUAUCAAUAAGCGGAGGA
rnacentral:misc_RNA from 1 species